UACGUAGGGUGCAAGCGUUGUCCGGAAUUAUUGGGCGUAAAGAGCUCGUAGGCGGUCUGUCGCGUCUGCUGUGAAAACCUAGGGCUUAACUCUGGGCGUGCAGUGGGUACGGGCAGGCUAGAGUGUGGUAGGGGGAGACUGGAAUUCCUGGUGUAGCGGUGGAAUGCGCAGAUAUCAGGAGGAACACCGAUGGCGAAGGCAGGUCUCUGGGCCAUUACUGACACUGAGAAGCGAAAAGCAUGGGGGAGCGAACAGG
rnacentral:rRNA from 1 species